AAGCGUCAUUGAAGGGCCGAGGACAGCUGACUGGAUUUCAGGGCUUCCUGCUGACAGUAUCACAUAGUACUUGUUAGCGGAGAGAUACCAAUGGCCUUUUGAUUUUAAACCACAUCAAUUAAUACUCUAUUUGGCUUGUGUGUUUUAACGGUAGUUAUUCAUUCUUGUCCAGAGAGGUAUCCUACAGGUGUAUCAGGAUGGAUAUCCGCGGGGCGGUGGACGCUGCAGUGCCCACCAACAUCAUCGCUGCCAAGGCAGCUGAGGUCCGAGCCAACAAGGUCAACUGGCAGUCAUACCUGCAGGGCCAGAUGAUCUCUGCCGAGGACUGUGAGUUCAUUAAGAAGUUUGAAGUGGCUCAUUCUGAGGAGAAACAGACCAUCCUCACCAACGAAGGACAUCAGGUACCA